GUGUUGUGAAAUGUUGGGUUAAGUCCCGCAACGAGCGCAACCCUUAUCCUUUGUUGCCAGCGAUUAGGUCGGGAACUCAAAGGAGACUGCCAGUGAUAAACUGGAGGAAGGUGGGGAUGACGUCAAGUCAUCAUGGCCCUUACGACCAGGGCUACACACGUGCUACAAUGGCGCAUACAAAGAGAAGCGACCUCGCGAGAGCAAGCGGACCUCAUAAAGUGCGUCGUAGUCCGGAUUGGAGUCUGCAACUCGACUCCAUGAAGUCGGAAUCGCUAGUAAUCGUGGAUCAGAAUGCCACGGUGAAUACGUUCCCGGGCCUUGUACACACCGCCCGUCACACCAUGGGAGUGGGUUGCAAAAGAAGUAGGUAGCUUAACCUUCGGGAGGGCGCUUACCACUUUGUGAUUCAUGACUGGGGUGAAGUCGUAACAAGGUAACCGUAGGGGAACCUGC
rnacentral:rRNA from 1 species